GGCCGCCAUGUUCCGGUGGGUGGGGCUGUGAGGGCGCGGCGGACUCGUCGGCGGGUCCGUGAGCGGCGCGUUCCGCCCCGGGUGUGCAGAGAGGAGCAGGAAGGUUUCCUGUCCCUGCUGGACCCAUCCAGAGCCCAGUGGAGGAGUCUCCGAGGAGUGAUCUCACUGCCCAGCCCAGGUAUGGCAACAGUGACACAGCUGAAUGACAAGGAGGCUUAUCUUGGUGAAUGUGGCAGGUUAAAUCCUGCUUCAGACUGCAUCUCUAAAACCUGCAGUGUGUGGUUUCUGGUGUGGUUUUUUGUUUGUUUGUUUGUUUUUGUUUUGGGUUUUUUUGGGUUUUGGGGUGUUUUUUUAUAAAAUGGUGCUACUUCCUA